GAGGUGGCCCAGCACGGCACAGACCACACAGUACGUUUUGCCAAAUGGCAUGACAGAACUAGGGGUCGGAUCUCAGUCACCCCAUUCAUUUCAAAACGCCGGGUAUCUCUCCCUCCACCAUAGCCGUUUAACAUAAUGCUCUUCCUUCCAUUUACCAUUUUCAAUUUUUUGUUAACAAAAAACAAAAGCGCAUGAUCACACUGCUUCGCUCUAAACACUACAAUUUCCAAUUCCAAAUCAGUGUAAAACCAACACUUACAAAUACGGUUCUUUACUUCAAAGCUGUAUCCAAUAGGGUGACGACACCACCGGAAAAUCUCUCCACUGUGAGAUUAUAAAGAAGGGAAAUUUCUUGGACUUGUGUGCGAACAACGUUCUUUUAAUUUUGUAUGUAAAAUACGGCUCAUAGGCAGAUGCAGCUAUGCUGUUCGAUGAAAUGCCUGAGAGAUAUACGGUGUCGUUUGUUACUUUGAUUCAAGGUUAUAAUCAGCGUUUUAGAUCUUACGAUGCCAUCUGGUUGUUUUCUAGGUUUCAUGGAGAAGGUCAUGAGCUUAACCCUUUUGUUUUUAGUACUGUUUUGAAGUUGCUUGUUAUUGCUGAGUGUACUGAAUCGGGGUUUAGUGUCCAUGCAUGUGUUUGUAAGCUUGCGCCUUUGUGGGUACUGCUUUGAUUGAUUGUUACUCUGUUUGUGGGUAUGCUGAAUGUGCAAGACAAGUUUCUGAUGCGAUUGAAUGUAAGGAUAUGGUUUCUUGGACUGGGAUGGUAACUUGUUAUGCGGAGAAUGAGUGCUUUGAAGAGUCUUUGAAGCAUUUGUUUUUUCUGCAGAUGAGAAUUGUUGGGUUUAAACCAAAUAAUUUUAUUUUUGCGAGUAUGUUGAAGGCUUGUGUUGCGUUGGAGGUGUUUGAUGUUGGAAAGGCUGUACAUGGACAUGCUUUUAAAACAUCUUAUGUGGAAGAAUUUUUUUCGGUGUUGAAUUGUGGACUUGUAUAUUAAGUCUGGAGAUGUUGAUGAUGCUUUACGUGUGUUUGAAGAGAUGCCUAAAGGUGAUGUGAUUCCUUGUAGUUUUAUGAUUGCUCAGUAUGCCCAAAGCGAGCAUAGUGAAGAGACCAUUGCGUUGUUCUGCAAGAUGAGGCAAGGUUUGGUGCUUCCUAAUCAGAUUACGCUUGCUAGUUUGCUGCAAGCAUUUGCGAGCUUGGUGGAUUUGCAAUUCGGGAAGCAAAUCCAUUACCAUAUAGUUAAGGUUGGUUUAGAUACAAAUGUAUUUGUAUUCAAAUGCUCUAAUGGACAUGCAUGCAAGAUGUGGAAGAAUGGAGAACUCAAUGCAACUGUUUGUGGAAUCUCGAAAUUGUACUGAUGUGAGUUGGAAUAGGGUGAUUGUUGGCUAUGUGCAGGCAGGCAAUGGUAAGAAGGCAUUGAGUUUGUUUAAAGAUAUGCUUGAAUGCCAAGUUCAGGGAUCGGAAGUGACAUACUCUAGUGUGCUCCAUGCAUGUUCUGGUAUUGCUGCCAUGGAACCAGACAGACAGUCAUUCAUUGCUAGUGAAAACUAUUUAUGACAAGAACACUGUGGUUGGAAAUGCUUUGAUAGAUAUGUAUGCCAAGUGUGGAAGCAUUAGAGAUGCACGUUUAGUGUUUAACAUGCUAAGGGAAUGUGAUCAAGUGUCAUGGAGUGCUAUGAUUGCAGGAUAUUCUGUGCACGGGCUAUGUAGGGAAGCUCUAAAAGCUUUUGAAUUGAUGCAGGAAACAGAGUGUAAACCAGACAAGGUAACUUUUGUUGGUAUCCUGUCAGCAUGUAGCAAUGCAGGACUUUUCGAUAGAGGACAAGCUUAUUUUAAAUCUAUCAUAGAAGAUUAUGGCAUUGAACCAUGCGCAGAGCACUACAUGUAUGGUUUGGAUUUUUGGGAGAUUGGGUCAUCUUGAUAAGACUGUUAAGUUGGUCAAGGAAAUCCCAUUUGAGCCUAGUGUUAUGGUGUGGCGGUCCUUACUCAGCGCUUGUGUCGUUCAUAUGAUGUUGAACUUGGAAGAAUCUCUGCCCGGCGUGUUCUUGAGAUAGAACCAGAAGAUGAGGCAACAUAUGCAUAAUUGUCAAACAUAUAUGCUAAUGCAAGGAAGUGGGGAAAUGUGGCUUCCAUUAGGAAAAGCAUGAAAAGGAAAGGAGUCACGAAAGAACCGGGCCUAAGUUGGAUUGUGAACCACGGUGGGGUUCAUUAUUUCUCUGUAGGAGACAUUUCACAUCCUCACAGAAAAUGAUUAAGGGGAUGCUGGAGUGGUUGAACGUGAAAGCCAGGAAUGAAGGUCAUGUUCCUGAUUGUAGUUCUGUUUUGCUUGAUGUGGACGAUGUUGAUAAGGAACAGUGGUUGUGGGUCCACAGUGAAAGACUAGCUUUAGCAUAUGGUCUAAUUAGAACUCCAUCCAUAUGCCAUGUUCACAUUAUAAAGAAUCUCCGUAUAUGUGCUGGCAGUCAUACUGCAAUAAAAUAAAUGUCAGAUUGUGCGCUGAGAUAUCAUUAUCAGAGAUAGGAACCAUUUCCAUCAUUUUCAGGAGGGGAUUUACUCUUGUGUCGGCUAUUGGUGAUUGACUUGCAAAUAUAGAUUUUGAUUUUUUUUGGAGCUAGAAUUUACAUCUCUUUGAUAAAGUUCCAUAUAAUGGUGGUUCGCAUAUUGAGAGGACUAAACUUUCUGCUUUAUAGCCAUGAAAGCAAAUCCAUAAUAAUUUAUGUCCGUGCACUGCUAAACUCUGACCACUAAAAUGCAGUUGUGCAUCAGCCAUAUGUCAGCUCAGCUGCAAAAGCUUCGGUAUUCACAAAGGAUGGAUUCUUGCCCCUAGAAAAUGAAGUGCGUGAGGUUUGGAGGUGUGGCUUUAUAAAUAUCCGUUAAUAUAUUAAUUGAUCUUCUUGAAGUGGUGUUUUUUAAUUGGUUUGGGAUAGUUAGCAACUUCUGAACUCUGUAUUGAGUGAUUGAUUUGAUGCAUCCCCAAUUAUUCACAUCUGCUGGAGAAAUUUAUUGCCUUUGAGAAGGAUGUGGCUUUAUAAAAGAUGCGUGUCUCUAAGAAAAGUGCUUGACGGAUCCUCUUGGAUUUUCUCGCUGAUCAUCCUAUUUUGACUAGUCUAGCUGAUGAAAGUGCCUCUCAGCUGUCUUUGCUGAGGGACUAUAUAGUAUAUACUUACACAAACACUUUAAACUUGCACAAGGGUAAGAGAGUAAGCUGCCUCUUUUCUCUUGAAAUAUGCUUCAACUUUAGAAUUUUGGUUUUGAAAGUGUUUAUCUUGUUUGCCUUUUAAAGUUGUUAUUGAUCAUCAGAACUUGUGAACUCAUAACAUUGAAGCUUGGUACUUUGAUGCGCUGCCUUGAUAUAUGUACAUGAUGCAUCUUCCAGGUUUUAUUAGGGUAACUGUAUCCACUUUCCUUGUUGAGUUGAUUUUAGGCCAUAAAAACAAGAAGAAAAGGAAGUAUUAUCACUAAGCAAGUUUCGUGGAUGGAGAUAUUUAAUCAUUCUUUCUGGUGGUUGGGAUCUAUACGUAUACAAUAAUACAAUAAUAAGUUUUUAUUGAAGCUUUUGGACUCAGAUUGCCUCUCAUUUUUUGUUCAAACAUAAUAAAGUUGGUUUCAAAGCACCGCCUUCGAUGGUCUUUUCCAAAGCAGCUAUGACGAUUUGCAACUAGAAUUUUUUCUUCCGAACUUUUGUUACAUAAAUAUGUUACCAUGGAUCGUCCAUGUUUUAUGUUGGUUAAAUCAUCUACUUUUGAUUAUUGAAGUUGUCCUGGAGAGACUUGGUUGAAUUAAGUCAUUGUUUAUUUUGUGCAAUAAACAAAAAUGAAGAAAUUCCCCAGCACUGUAUGUGUGUGGGCAUAUUUAUGAAU